GACGAACGCUGGCGGCGUGCUUAGCACAUGCAAGUCGAACGGAAAGGCCCUGCUUUUGUGGGGUGCUCGAGUGGCGAACGGGUGAGUAACACGUGAGUAACCUGCCCUUGACUUUGGGAUAACUUCAGGAAACUGGGGCUAAUACCGGAUAGGAGCUCCUGCUGCAUGGUGGGGGUUGGAAAGUUUCGGCGGUUGGGGAUGGACUCGCGGCUUAUCAGCUUGUUGGUGGGGUAGUGGCUUACCAAGGCUUUGACGGGUAGCCGGCCUGAGAGGGUGACCGGCCACAUUGGGACUGAGAUACGGCCCAGACUCCUACGGGAGGCAGCAGUGGGGAAUAUUGCACAAUGGGCGGAAGCCUGAUGCAGCAACGCCGCGUGCGGGAUGACGACCUUCGGGUUGUAAACCGCUUUCGCCUGUGACGAAGCGUGAGUGACGGUAAUGGGUAAAGAAGCACCGGCUAACUACGUG
rnacentral:rRNA from 1 species